rnacentral:lncRNA from 1 species
GUCGCAACCGGAAUCGCGACGGGACGACAAUCCAUAAAGGAAACAAUUUUGAGAAAGAGUUUGGAGUCGCCACCAUAGUUUAUUCUGGAAAACUACGGAAAAACCAUAAAAUGAUAAAGCACGGUCCACGAAAACCAAAGAUGGGGUUCGGGAGUCGGUUACGUGUAAGGAAGGUAUUAGCACCCUACAACGCCUGCCCAAAGGCAGUACCUUUAAUUAAAAUACGCGAAUAAAGAUGUGGUUUGCAAAAUGUUUAACUAUCCCAAAAAUUAAAACUCUAAAGAAACAAAAUACGUUUUUUUAUUUUUUGUGCCCGACAAGGAUUGACCUUGCUCCUACGUAUUCUCAAAGUGAGAAAUCAGGGUUACGUAGUUCUAGCUGAGAGAUUGUUUGUUUGUUUAAAAAAGGAUGUUUUAGUGUUUCGAUGUCUUUGUAAAAUGGGGAAAGGUUCCAGCACAAGGCCAACAGAAUGGUCGCACCUGUACUUAAACCUUUAAAAUGAAGUUUUGUCGAUUUUUUUUAAAAGAAGAAGAAAANNUUUUCAGCGCAAGGCCGACAGAAUGGUCGCACCUGUGCUUAAACUUUUAAAAUAAACUUCGUUGGGUUUUUAAAAGAAGGAAAAGUUUUCAGCGCAUGGCCGACAGAAUGGUCGCACCUGCGCUUAGACUUUAAAAAUAAUUUUAGUUUUUUUUUUUAAAAAGAAGGAAAAGUUUUCAGCGCAUGGCCGACAGAAUGGUCGCACCUGCGCUUAGACUUUAAAAAUAAUUUUAGUUUUUUUUUUUUUUAAAAGAAGGAAAAGUUUUCAGCGCAUGGCCG